CGUUUGGGCAGGGUUACUCCCGGGUCGAGUGAGGAAGUGCAAGGUGUAGGUGGCACUCUGGCUGGCCGUGUCCUCUCAGCGUGGCACACCCGGUAGCUCCACAACGUCAGGAGCUGGACUAUGGUUUUACCCCAGUGCUGGGGCGUGCACACGGCCUGCACCCAAGGAGUGUCUUGGCGGGCGUGCCCUGCUGUUGCCGACCCUGAAAGGCUGACCUCUGCUGGCCAGGACAGGCACUACGCCUACCCGGUGGCCACCACCCCAGGACAGCAACGGAGGGAUGUCUUUCCAUUAGCCUAGAAGCCUCUGCGCCAUCUCUCAGAGCACCCUGGCUAAUGGGCCAAGGAGUGAUCGGUGUCUGGAGCACAGCGGGGACUCAACCGUGUACAAAGAGUGGGAAUGCGCUGCAGACCUCCUGCCUGGGUGGUCUCAACCUCAUCCAGCUUUUAUCGAGUAUUCCCCACCUAGCAGCCCAUUAAGGACUUUUCCAGCCCCAAUUUUGCCACGCAACGGUUUCUGCAAUGCCUGGAAACAAGGAACGUGUGCUUCGAGAGUCUCCCUUUAAGGCAGUAACAGUGCCGGGUCCGUAUCCCCAGAGCAAGACUGUGCUGUCCUGGAGUAGAUGCAAGAAGGAAGCAUCUCGUACACCGAGUGUGGCAGGUGCAAGUGUUUGAGGCUGUCGGUUGCUCUUCGUGACACCUGCAGAGUCCAUCGCUGCAAUUCAGAGCCAGGUGCUUGAAAAACCGGGCCGGGCCUUGCUGAGGACGGGCCGAGUGUUUACGCCCAGAGCACCCACUCUGCGCCAAGCCCUGUGUCACAAGAUUCCAUGUGCUCCAGGAGCAACAAAGAGGAGACCCUAGUGGAUGGAUGAGCCAGCACUUUGAAGAGCUGGGUCCCGAUGCCAACAAUAAGAGGCCCUAGAAGAUGACUGAGGACGCUGGUAGAGUACCUGUUCAGCACCGUCUUACUUGAUGUGUGGCUUCAGUUUGCCCAGAUAUAAAGUGGGGUGCCCGCCCGUGUGUCCCCAGCUCUGGGGCUGCUAUUAACGACAUGUUGCAGCAGCUUUACGAAGCGUGGCUCGGAACAAUUUUACACCUCAUUUGAUUUAUGUUCCCGGAUUCGCUCCUCUCUCAGAGACUCCCUCCCUCUGGAGAGACAGCAUGUGUCAUCCGCUCCAGCUCUCCUGCGUUCCCACAGAGCCAGUCUCUGCGUCAGGAAGGGCCAGCCUCAGACCCUAGGUCCUGAGCAAACAGUCCCGUGACCUGGCUCUUCCUCCAGGGCUUUCUUCCAGAUGUGUGUCCCUGAGCCGGGACACCUGUGACUGAGGCCUUCGGAGGUGGGCUUAGCCACGACAGAAUCCCAGAGCAACGAAAGUCCUUGGGGAUUGGUUACCAGCACACCCGCAUCUUACAGAUGGGGAAACUGAGAGGUGGAAAGAGUCCUCGGUGUCUUCAAGACCCUUCUGAAGGUCACAUGGCCAGUCUGUGGCAGAUGCCUGCCUCCCCUCUCAGCAGUAAAGAGGGCUGGUCCUCACAGGGAGUCACCAGGUCAGCUGUGAGCCAGCCUUCCCGCCAGUAGGACCUGCUGGACUGGACUCUUUGUCCAGACAGUGUCCUUGACGUAGGCUGAAGAAAUGGACGAGCAACAGGGCCAUCUGGUCCACCUCCCUCAUUGCAGAGGGAAGGCAAGCAGGAUGGGAGAGGAAGAGUGAUUCCUUGCAAAGCACACAGCCAGUAGGAUGCAGGCUGGGCUAGAACGCUGGCUUCACGACCCUGGGAUCUUAUCCCCUUCUCCCUAAGAGGCAAGAACGUUCCUACAACCACGUCUUCUCAUUCACUCACUUUUGAACGGAUGCCUCUCAGGAACCAGGCUUGGUGGUAAGCUCAGAGGACGCGAGGAUGGACCAGACAGAGAAGCACCCGGCUGUCCCAGCCCAGUGUAGUGAGGCCGCGAGGGAACGUGUGGGCCCCAGCAGCGGACCCCUCCCUCUGCUCAGCGAACUCCUGCCAUGGGGAAUGUUGCUUGCAGGGGAACCCACUGCCCACCACAGAGGCCGGUAACCCAUAAUCCCAGCCGCCCUUGAGAUAUGUGAACAAGGUUUGGCCCGUUAGAUAUACCCGUCCCAGGUUAUACUCAAGCUGGUGACAUGAAGAGAGAGGGGACAAGGAUAUUCUCUGUGGCCACAGGGCUGGGGCAGUUGCACUAAGAUCGAGUGCCCAGAGGCAGAGGUAAUACUGGUGACAUGGGUGGUGCGGGCCACAGUGUCCCCACAGCCAGUUCUGGCUCUUCGUGAGGAUGAUAGUUCCCACUAGCAUGAUACCCCGACCCACCUGGAGGACAGGGGAGGCUCUCCGUAUUCAUCAGAGAUAACUUCUGAUUUCGGAAACUUUCAAAUCUAUACGAAAGCAGAAUAGCACCAAGAACCCCCACGUGUCCAUUGCCAAGCUACGAGAUUCACCAACAUUCACCAUUCUUUUUUAAUUUUUUAAAAUGUUUAUUUAUUUUUGUGAGAGAGAGAGACAGAGUGUGAAUGGGGGAGGGGCAGAGAGAGAGCGAGACGCAGAAUCCGAAGCAGCCUCCAGGCUCCGAGCUGUCAGCACAGAGCCCGAUGCGGAGCUCGAACUCACGAACUGUGAGCUCUGUGAGCUGAUGUCAGACGCUUAACUGACUGAGCCACCCAGGCGCCUCUAACAUCCUGCCAUUCUUGUUCGUCUUCCCUCCUGUAGAGUUUCCAAACACUUCUUUCCUCAAAACAUUUUAAUUAAGAGUUCACUUUUCAGCAGAGUUUUAGGUUUACAGAAAAUUUGAGCAGGUGGUACCACGGAUUCCCCUAAACUCCAUCCCAUACCAAUUUCUCCUACUAUUAACAUCUUACGUUAGUAUGGUACAUUUGUUACAAGUAACAAACCAAUGCUGAUAUGUUGUUAUUAAAUCGAGUCCAUACGUGAUCAGACUGCCUUAGUUUUUCAUCAGUGACCUUUGCCUGUUCAGGAUCCCAUGCAGGAGACCACAUUAUGCUUAGCUGUCAGGUUUUGGGAGCCCUUCUGGGUUGUGAUAGUUUCACAGACUUUCCUUGAUUCUGAUGAUCUUAAGAGUUUUGAGGCGUGGCUUAUCAGGUAUAUUGUAGGUUUCCUGCUCUGGGGAUUUGUCUACCGUUUUUCUCAUGAUUAGAUUGGGGUUAUGUGUUUGGGGAAGGAGGAUCACAGAAGUAAAGGGCUAUUUUCAUCAUGCCGUAUUAAGGGCAUUAUAUUGUGAUAAUGUGAUAUGAUAAGAUAUAUGUAUUUGAUCUUGUCCCUGGGUCCUGAAACCAAGCUCCUAAAACCCCCCCACUUUUCUGAGUGAUAGGAGCACCUUCUGCUAAAAUAUUUAGUCUUUGUCCAUGGUUCCUGACACAAGAGCUUUAAGACCCUUGGGACCUUCUGAGUGAUGGGUGUCUUUGUAUGCUAACCAUGGCUGUGGUUGACAAAUACUGUCUUUCUUGCCAGAAAGACCGAGGCAAGAUGGGAAGGUAGCAGCUCUCAGUCCCACCCUACCCCCAUCCUCUGGGGCAAGGAGAGGGGCUGGAGAUUGACUUAAAUAACUGAUAGUGCCUACCUGCUAAAGCUUCCAUAAAAAUCCCUAAACGAUGGAGUUCAGAGAGCUUCUAGGUCAGUAAACACAUCCAUGUCCUGGGAUGUCCAUAUGGCAGGGAGCGAUGUACCUUCGCUUCAGGACUCUUCUGGACUUCAUCCUCUGGACCUCUUCAACUGGCUGUUCCUCUGUACCCUUUAUAAUAUCCUUUCUGAUGCCACCAGUAGAUGUGUUUUCCUAAGUGCUGUGAGUUGUUACAGCAAAGUAUCAAAUCUGAGAAGAAGAGAGUGGGAAACUUCAGUUUGCAGCCCAGUCACAGCGAAGUGUGGGUAACCUGGACACCCGCUCCUUGUGAUUGGUGUCUGUGGUGGGGGAAGUUCUGUGGGGCUGAGCCCUUCACCUAUGGCAUCCGUGUCAACUCUGGGUCAUCAGUAUCAGAAUUGAAUUAAGCCGAAGGACACUCAGUCGGUGUCUGUAGAAAAUUGGCGAGUUGCUUGGUGUGGAAAAUCCACACAUUUGGUGUCAGAGGUGUUGUGAGUAGAGCAACAGUUUUUGCUCUUCAGACUCCCCGUUGUUUUUGAUGACCUUGACAGUUUUGAGAAGUACUGGCCAGCUGUAUUGUAAGAUGUACCCCCCCACCCCGUUGGAAUUUGUCUACUGUGUAUCUCAUGAUUAGACGGAGGUUAUGGGUUUGGGGAAAAAACCCAGAGGUGAAGUGCCACUCCCAUUACACUGUAUUAAGUGUAUGUGCCAUCAACAUGAUUUAUUAUUGAUGUUGGCCUCGAUUGCCUGCUGAAGUGGUGAUCGUGAGGUUUCUCCACUGUUGGGUUACCCAUAUCCCCCCUUUCUGUACUGGACUCUUUGGAAGGAAGUCACUAUG